AACUAUAUAACCUGCACCUUCAAAUGUGAUCUCUUUUUAUUUCACAAUGCUGUUUAAAUCUAACCAUCACAAUUUAUCAAAUAUAAAAAAAUUACUCACUUUUACAUAACUUAAAGAAACUACUCGGAAAUAUAUUUAAGAGACUUAUUUCAAAUUUAAUGCCCAACCACUUUUUGUCAUUUUUCUCCCUAACCUCAUGGUUUUGGUGCCCGUAUACCCUUAUCUCUUCUCCUCCACACGAAUUUUCAACUUCUUAUUAUCUCAAACUGUCGGUUUGUUGAACAGAAAGAAGAAACCAUUCCAUACUUUUUGUUGCCUCAUUCUAAAGCCAUUUCUCAGAUUUUUCAUCUUCAACAUCAACUAAAAAAGUUAGUCAAUUAGUCUCUAAUAACUUAAGAAAAGUGUGUUUAAUUUUGGUUCUCCGAUGGGGAAAUAUUCUUUAAUAAACACUUGCUACUUUUUAUGCAUGGCUAUAUCUGCAAAAAUGUUUUCUGCUUCUUUCUUCAGUUUCUUUGUAUUCUUACUUCUUUCUCCUGAUCAGAUCAUGGAAAGAGGAAAACAAAUUGACGGAGAAAGAGAGAAAGGGGAAUUAGCAAACUUGGAGGUAUGUCAUAAUUAAUUUGUGCUAGUAAUAUUGGUUUAAGGUGUCUAUCUACGUAGGUCAAGAAUAACUAUUUCUAAUAAACUUUUCACCUAACGGUCUAAACCCAAAUAAAAUAUUAAGUAAAAGAACUAAUUGAAGAAUCGAUUAAACUAAAUAACUAAAUAAUGGAUUAUAGUUCCUAUAUAUGGGUGAAAGGUAAAAUUUCUUCUUUUAUUAAAUUGACUAACUUCUAUGGUUGUUUGGUAACUGAUAAUAUGUUCAAAUUAGGUGUGUGUAUAGGUUGGGUAGGUAGCUUUCUUUAUUUACCAAAUUAAACCAAUUAUGUCGGGGUUUUAAAUCUAUAAACCAAAUCAAACUCGUAAUAGUCGGAUUUUCGAUCUCUUUUUUUCAGUUUUUUGGUUUGGUUUGAUUUUUUCGAGUUUUUCCCCAUAAUAUCGGGACAAAAAUAUAAUUAAUGCUCCAAAUAUUUCUUUUAUCCCUGUAAGAUAAAACAAUUAUAGUUCAAUAAUCAUUCAUUUUCGCUAUCACUAAUGAAAAGCUUUAAGAGUUUUAUGAUGACCGAGCUAAAACAAUGGAAUGAGUUAUAUGGGGAAGGGGGGUCAAGUAAAAAGGAGCAAUUUUGUUAGAUAGGAAUUUUUACAUUCCUAUGCCAUAAAGUAAACUAUAUUACCCUCCAUGCUUAACUUUUAAUAUAAUUACCUUCUAUAUACCUAAUUAUCAUUUAUGUACCAUUUUAGGAUUUUAAUGGUAUUAAUUAGUCUCCUAAUUUUACUCAACCAUAUAUUCUCACUCCCCCAAGUUUCUCUCUCCAAAUCCCCACGAUUUCCUCUUCAAACACCCACAUUUUCCUCUUCUAAAACUAGCAAAAAUCUGUAACUCUUCCACCAUUGACAACCAUUAAAAAGUUUUGAAGCUUUGAAUUCGAAUUUGGGUUUUCAAAAGACAUUGUUUGUUUGGACUGGAUGUUGUUGCAAAGAAUUGAGAAUUCUCUCCACGUCUCUCUCUAUCUCGCAAUCCCAAAUUUCAGUAAUAUAAGAGGAAAGGAAAAGAGAGCAGCAAUUCCAUCAUUGACAGCCAUUAAAAAGCUUUGAAUUCAAAUUUGGGUUUUCAAAAAUCAUUAUUUGUUUGGAUUGAGUGUUGUUGUAAAUAAUUGGGAAUAUGGUUUGGAAUUUAUAUCUUAAUUUUGAGGGGUUUUGGUGAAAAUUAGACUUGAUUUUGGCUAAAUUUCAGAUUGAAACUCGAAGAAGAAGAAGAAGAAGAAGACAUGACAUACAUUAUAUUGCAGAAAUUGUAGAUAAAUUGUAGAAAAAUUGUAGACUAUUAUUUUUUAGCUUUGUGUUUUUUUGUUAAAAGUUUUGAUGAGAGCUUGUUAUUCCACUUCGUCUGUUUUGGAGCUAACUUAUGCAGAGGAGAAGAUAUUUUUUAAGUUAUAUAUAUUGUUAUACCUUUAAAUUCAAGAAAGUAUGGAUGCAUUAUAUUUAAAGAGACGUGAAUUUGUAAAAUAGGUUGAAUGUGAGCAAUAAGUCAAAUAAGACUCACAAUGGCUUGUUUUCUACAUUUAUUCUACAAUAAAACUACAUAUCAUUUGAAAAAUUAAUAUGAAAAAACAGAAUUUCAAUGUUUCUACAAAUUAUCUACAAAAUUUCUACAAACUGUUCAUAAAAGAAUUUAUCUUUAUUUUCAUGCAUGUUCGUUUGGAACACUAAAGUUACUUGAUAUGCCAACAUCUCCCGUUAUAGAGGAAUACAACUUAUUUACAAUUUUCUACAACUUUCAUACAUUAUUUCCACCCAGUGAAAUACAACUACAAUAACAUAAAACUUAUAUACAAAUUUUAUACAAAUUUUAUACAAUAUGUCUUUUGUAUAUUUUGUAUCUGAUUUAUACAUAGUAAAAAUAAUUUUCAUACGACUGAUUAUAUAUUAUACAACUUAUCUACAAUUUUCGUACAUUAUUUCUACAAAGUUAUAUACAACUACAAUAUAAUACCACUUAAAUAUAAUUUUUAUACAAUGUUGUUCAACUUUCAUACAAUAUGUAAAUAAAUAAACAACAGUCUACAAUUUAUCUACAAUUUUUGCAAUAUAAUGUAUGUCAUGUCUUCUUCUUCGAGUUUCAAUCCGAAAUUCAACCAAAACCAAGUCUAAUCUUCACCAAAACUCCUCAAAAUUGAGAUAUAAACUCCAAACCAUAUUUCCAAUUAUGUUCAACAACACCCAAUCUAAACAAAUAAUAAUUUUUGAAAACCCAAAUUUGAAUUUAAAGUUUCAAAGCUUUUAAUGGCUAUCAAUGGUGGAAUUGUUGCUCUCUUUUUCUUUUGUUUGUAUUACUGAUUUUUGACAUAAUUGCGUUUGUUGCAGAAGAAUUAUAGAAGAUUUAGUCAUUUUUUAUUUGUGAAAUCAGAAAAAAAUGUUGAAACAGAGUGUAUCGCAAAAACAGAGUAUGAAAAUUUUGAAACGAAUCUGACGAUAAUUAUGAAUAUGCGUGAUUUGUGUUGUAGAAGAUCUGGAAGAAUUUUUAGUUUCCCAAUUUUAGCUAGCCUAAAUAAGGAAUCCUACAACUACAAUGAUUCCUUAUUUAAUGUAUUGUCUAUAUUUUGUAGAAAUACUAUUAGCAUGAAGGGUAAUAUGUAAACUAUGAACAUAUUUGGUAAUAUAGUUUCUUAUAUGGUAUAGGAACGAAAAUUUUCCUUGUUUUUAUUCAAUUUUGUUUAGGCUCAACCGAACACUUAUAUGGACUAUUCGCAAAUUACAGUGAAAAUAGUACGGUUUAGCCAAUUUUCGGAUUGGUAAUUGAAAAGUAGUCAGUAUUUGUAAAGUCAUUGAAAAAUAGUCAUUAUUUUGCUGCAACACAUAAAGUUCCAGCAUAAUAUACUGGAGAUUGGUGCACUUGUGUAUGAACUUCCAGCAUAUUAUGAUGGAACUCCAACACACGGAAAGUUCCAAAAUAAUAAACUGGAUAUUGGAGCACCCCUGUAUGAACUUCCAGCAUAUUAUGUUGGACCAGUAUAUUAUGUUGGAACUCCAGUAUAUUAUGUUAGAAUAUAUUCUGAAUUUUAAACAGUGUUUUCGUUCAGAUUUAUCUUUAUAUGAAAAUGGGCUAAAUUUCGAUUGUUUUUGAAACUGUGGCUAUUUUUCAAUUACCACAUGUAAAUCUGGUUUUUUUUUUAAUUUCCCUCCAAAUUAUAAGCUCAAACUUAAACAAUUAUACUAAAAUACAUAAAUUAUUAAAAUAAUUGCUGGGAUUAAGAUUGGUGAAUGGGAAAUGAAGGGAAGAAAGUGGAGGGAAAAUGAGCUCCUUUUUGCUUUGGAAAGAGCAAGUGUCUUUCAUUGGUGGUGGAAAAAAAAUGUGAAUGUGCUUAUAUUGAGAAAGAACUUCCUUGGGUUAAAUGGGUUGGAAAAAAAAGUAAGCCUCACGCCGUCGCCGUCGUCACGUAGCUCGGCUUCUGUCAAAGAUGCUUUAUCAUCUUUCUUUUUGGUUGGGAAAAAGUAUAAGUACCCUCCCAACUUAUAACCGAAGUUUCAAUCACACACCUUUUCUUUUCUGGGGUCUUAUUACUCCCUCUAAAUUUAUUUUUUUCAAAAUUUUGAAAAAGACUGUAACCUAUACGAAAUUGCCAUGUAUCAAUCUCAGGACCGAUUUUCAUGAGCCGUUCUUCCAAAAUACACUUCAUUUCAUGAACAUUUUAUCACACAUUUUCAAGAGCUUUAAAUUAAUUUUGGGUCUCAAAAUUCACCAAAUCCACAGUAAUCAAGCUUAAAUUUCAACUACAAUUUCACAACAACAUCAUCACCAAACCCCAAUAAUCAAUUUGGCCAACAACCAACAACUUCAACAAACACUUUUAUGUUACGAUAAAUAUCAUAUUAUAGUGGAUGUCUACUCUUCCUCCAUAAUCUUCAUGUCAAAUGCUUAAUGACAUAUUCAAUGACAUAUUUUCUAUGUUCAGUGACAUAUUCCAUGACAUAUUUUCUUCACUUUUCAUGCCUAUAUAAAGGCNUUGUAAUNNNNNNNNNGAAGAAAAUCUCUUCCUUCUCUCUAUCUCUAUUUCUUGCUCAUGUUUUACGAAAUUGCUUUUAUUUCUUGUUCAUGUUUUACUAAAUUGCUUUUAUUUCAUAACACGUUAUCAGCACGAGUCUCUAACCAAUUGUAUAUAUAUACCUACAAAAAUUUUCCUACAUCCGAAAAGAUUACAAUUAGAAGUCAUACAUAUCAUCACAUGGUUAAAUGUAAAGAGAAACUACAUAUGGUAAGUAAUGAAAUGUAAGAAGGUAUGCUUAUCUUAUACUUGUCAUUCCUUUAAAAUCUCAUAUGCACACAACUUCGUACUACACCUGUAUUGCAUAAGCACAUAUUAAUAUUACAUCUUUUAUAUCACAAGAAUGGAAUAAAAUUUUCGAAGUUCUAUAUGUGAAAAUCAUAGUAGCAGUUAAUUGUUGAUAUGAUGCAUGUCAUGGUAACCAAGGAUAUUUUAUAUAAAUUGUCUUAUGCAUAUUUAUGUGUUAAUUAUCUUCAAUCUGUCCUACCGCUUUAAACAUUUUUUUUUUUACUUGGAUGAAUAUAUUUUUUUCCUUUUGGAUUUUUACACUUGCAUAUAGUACCAAAAAAAGGAAUAAAAAAUAAAAUAAAAUUGGUCAUACUGUUUAAAAGCAUAAAUCAUCUUGAAGAAAAAAAGAAAUACUUCACAUCUUUAUCUAGGUUGAUUUAAAAGCAAACAAUGAUUAGUAUGACUACGAGAAGAGGUAUUUUUGAGUAUCCAUGACCUACUUGAUGCUUGCUACUGACUUACCAUUUUUAAGUAUUUUAUAUGAAUGAUGCACAAGCUACAACUGGUAAAUUGUUACCUAUAAUGUCACUUUUCAGGUAAUAUAAAUGCUGAAUUUAUGUAUUAGUACUAUAUAUGUGUUAAGUGUACUUUUGAUAAAUUUUUUCACUAAUUGCUUGGUUGAAUUGAGUGAAGGAAAGUCAUGGCGUUAAAUCAAAUCCAAUAGGUAGGGUAUACCCCGAAAACAACAAUAUUUUUGAGAGAGACUCAAUAAAUAUUAUGACCGUGAUUUUAUGAUCCUUUUAAACUCUAAUAAAAUUUAGAAGAAAUAUUCUGACUACAAACGGUUGUAUUUCAUAUAUAUGCUACAAAUAAUUAAUAAAGUUUUACGCUGAUUUGAGAUUUGUACACUUAUUUAAGAAAGCAAAUUUGAUUUGCUAAGUUGCAAAUUAGUUGUGUAUAACUUUCUUGGCAUGUGAUUGAAAUUAAGGCUUGAGAAUGAAUCUCAAUAUUGUUUAACCUAUUAUGACAUUGAUUGAGGGUAAGACAUCGGGAUCAAGUCCUGAUGCUUCAUAAUUAUAAGAGUUGGAUUUGAGUCCCAAUUUAUUAUGUCCUAACAUGCCUUUAUAUUGGUAAGACAUUGGGUUUGACCCCCAAUGUACCAUAUUGAUGAUAUAAUGAUGACUAAAGAAAAAUAAUAUAUUUUUCAUGAAAAGGCAUAAAAAUUGUCCCACUUGAUUUGCUCCAUUCUUGAAGUGAAUGUGAUAGCAAUGCAUAAUAAGUUUCAAUGAAGACAAGUGGUUGAACAAUGAACGUGGGCAUUCCAAAUAUCAAAAUAAUAAUAAUCAUCACUAUGAUUAUAAAAGGAGAACAAUAAGGGUUCUCAAAAUAGUCCUUCAAAAUGUGAAGACAAUGCUUACCAUCAAAUUGGUAUGAAAAUAAUAAAGCACAUCGCUGAUUAUGAUCCAUUCCUUGAAGAGAAUGUGACUUAUGAUAAGCAUUGAGAAUGCAAACUCAUUCCUAAAGUUGAAUGUGGCAAUAUGUGAUAAAAGCAAUGAAUAAAGACAUGCAAUUCAUGAUUAUAUGAAUACCACACAACUCACCUCUAAGGGAGGUUUGAGUAAAAUAAAGAGAAUAAAUAUUAUUGUGUGGUUACAUGAAUAUGUCAUUGGUCGCGUUCAUGUGAUACACCAAAUAUUAUUUUGUCAUGCCUUAUAAAAGUUAUUAAAGACAAAGUUAAAGCAAGAAA
rnacentral:lncRNA from 1 species